GACGAACGCUGGCGGCAUGCCUAAUACAUGCAAGUCGAGCGGAGUUGACGAGAAGCUUGCUUCUCUGAUACUUAGCGGCGGACGGGUGAGUAACACGUAGGCAACCUGCCUUUCAGUUUGGGAUAACUUCCGGAAACGGAUGCUAAUACCGAAUACAUCAUCUUCUGGCAUCAGAGAAUGAGGCAAGACGGCGCAAGCUGUCACUGAGAGAUGGGCCUGCGGCGCAUUAGCUAGUUGGUGGGGUAAUGGCUCACCAAGGCGACGAUGCGUAGCCGACCUGAGAGGGUGAACGGCCACACUGGGACUGAGACACGGCCCAGACUCCGACGGGAGGCAGCAGUAGGGAAUCUUCCACAAUGGGCGAAAGCCUGAUGGAGCAAUGCCGCGUGAGUGAUGAAGGUUUUCGGAUCGUAAAGCUCUGUUGCCAGGGAAGAACGUCCGGGUGAGUAACUGCACCCGGAGUGACGGUACCUGAGAAGAAAGCCCCGGCUAACUACGUGCCAGCCGCCGCGGUAA
rnacentral:rRNA from 1 species